GCGAGUCAUUGUAGCAAUACAAGGCAGACGGCUCAGUAACGCGUAGUCAACCUACCCUAUGGACGGGAAUAACCUCGGGAAACUGAGUAUAAUGCCCGAUAGAACACUAUACCUGGAAUGGUUUGUGUUCCAAAUGAUUUAUUGCCAUAGGAUGGGACUGCGGCCUAUCAGUUUGUUGGUGAGGUAAUGGCCCACCAAGACUAUUACAGGUACGGGCUCUGAGAGGAGUGGCCCGGAGAUGGGUACUGAGACACGGACCCAGGCCCUAUGGGGCGCAGCAGGCGAGAAAACUUUGCAAUGUGCGAAAGCACGACAAGGUUAAUCCGAGUGGUUUCUGCUAAAGGAACCUUUUGACAGUCCUAGAAACACUGUUGAAUAAGGGGUGGGCAAGUUCUGGUGUCAGCCGCCGCGGUAAAACCAGCACCUCAAGUGGUCAGGAUGAUUAUUGGGCCUAAAGCAUCCGUAGCCGGCUCUGUAAGUUUUCGGUUAAAUCUGUACGCUCAACGUACAGGCUGCUGGGAAUACUGCAGGGCUAGGGAGUGGGAGAGGUAGACGGUACUCGGUAGGAAGUGGUAAAAUGCUUUGAUCUAUCGAUGACCACCUGUGGCGAAGGCGGUCUACCAGAACACGUCCGACGGUGAGGGAUGAAAGCUGGGGGAGCAAACCGGAUUAGAUACCCGGGUAGUCCCAGCUGUAAACUAUGCAAACUCAAUGAUGCAUUGACUUGUGGUCAAUGCAGUGUUGCAGGGAAGCCGUUAAGUUUGCCGCCUGGGAAGUACGUACGCAAGUAUGAAACUUAAAGGAAUUGGCGGGGGAGCACCACAAGGGGUGAAGCCUG
rnacentral:rRNA from 1 species